CCGAGUACUACACCCAUAACCCUUUGUGAACCUUUAUAACCUGUUGCUUCGGCGGCGCGCCUCUCGGGGCGUGCCCGCCGGUAUCAUCAGAAUCUCUGUUCGAACCCGACGAUACAUCUGAGUGCUCUAAGCGAACUGUUA
rnacentral:misc_RNA from 1 species